rnacentral:rRNA from 2 species
UCGAACGGUGAAGCAGAGCUUGCUCUGUGGAUCAGUGGCGAACGGGUGAGAAAAACGUGAGCAACCUGCCCCUGACUCUGGGAUAAGCGCUGGAAACGGCGUCUAAUACUGGAUAUGAGCUGCGAUCGCAUGGUCAGCAGUUGGAAAGAUUUUUCGGUCUGGGAUGGGCUCACGGCCUAUCAGCUUGUUGGUGAGGUAAUGGCUCACCAAGGCGUCGACGGGUAGCCGGCCUGAGAGGGUGACCGGCCACACUGGGACUGAGACACGGCCCAGACUCCUACGGGAGGCAGCAGUGGGGAAUAUUGCACAAUGGGCGAAAGCCUGAUGCAGCAACGCCGCGUGAGGGAUGACGGCCUUCGGGUUGUAAACCUCUUUUAGCAGGGAAGAAGCGAAAGUGACGGUACCUGCAGAAAAAGCGCCGGCUAACUACGUGCCAGCAGCCGCGGUAAUACGUAGGGCGCAAGCGUUAUCCGGAAUUAUUGGGCGUAAAGAGCUCGUAGGCGGUUUGUCGCGUCUGCUGUGAAAUCCCGAGGCUCAACCUCGGGUCUGCAGUGGGUACGGGCAGACUAGAGUG